rnacentral:lncRNA from 1 species
AUGGUGAUUUUUCUUUUUUAAAACAAAUUAUGGUUUCAUAACUUUCCCUAAUUCGGAGUAUGUGAAAUGAAAUUUAUUUUUUUUAUUAUUUUCAGGUUUAUUCCACUGCAGACAUGAACAAAAGACCAAAACACUGACACUGGUUUUAGAGGAUGGCAGUGCAGGUAGCCAUGGCAACAGAGAACUCUGUGUACUCCCUCCCAGUGUACUCUCAAAUGCCAGAUGAGAGAGAGAUCAAGCAUAUUCUGAAUGGAUGUUGGAGUCAGCAGCAAAGGCCUGUGACUUGCUAACUUAGAGUGAGCACCCUCUUCUGUAGUCUAUAUCCUAAUUCAUCACCACGCUCUUCAAAUUUGAAAAUACAUUUAUAAUGUACCCUCAGAAAGCUUGCCCUGGCCAAAAUGCUGAAGAGGAGAGUGCACAGCAGCCCUCACCCUUACUCUAGGACAUCCAGCCAACCCUUGCAGGAUAAGACAGAAAGGCACCCUGUCCUGCAGUAACUCACAUAACCUAUUUCUCAUCAGCUACAUGGAUUUCAAAAUCACCAGUAAAAUAUUCUAAACCUUUGCAGUGCCAGUUGGAAACACCUGACAAAAAAAAUGGUUCUUUCAACAUCAUUGUAUGUGAAGUUGAGGUUGGUUUAUAAAAGAAACUGAUGAGAAGUAAUGAUAUGGUUCACUUUGAAAACUUGUAAUAAGAGCAGCAAGUAAUAGGACAAAGUAAAAGACAUUAUGGUACUUUAGUCCAAGGAGUCUGUUUUGGUCUGAUGCAAAGUUGUGCAUCUCCUAAAUAAAAGGAAAAACUGAGGAAAAACAAGUUACAGCUCUGUAAAAGCACCAAAAAUUGUGGCUUGUAUAUAUAUACCAGGAAAGAAGGAUCUGACUGCAUCUUCACUGAACAGCUGUCUUCACUCUUCAGCUGUGAGAGAGUAUUCAACCACACAGUUUCUGUUUUCAAGCAUUGCUCUGGAUAGCAUGUAUUUCUUGCAGUGCAGCUGCAACAUUAUUAAAAUCAGACUUACUUUAUCUUUCUCACUAUAACUGUAAAUGGGAUUGGGCUAUCAGCUAGCUGUUAACCUGCAGGAAACACCCUUUGACUUGAUCAGUGCUGUAUGAAUCUACAGUACAGACAAUUGAUUAUGCUUGCACAUCAGUAUGAACUGUGGGUAUGACUUCUUUCAUAUUCUUAGCACAUAAUAACAAAAACUCUUGACACAUCUUAUAACUCAUAUUCCCAAAGAUGCUUUCAUUCAUUCUGCUAAGAGUAAAAAUGUGGUUCAGUAGUGUAGCUGACAAGUUGAUGCUCAUGCAUAAGCACAUAAUGUAGAAAUCCAGUCCUGCCAGGUGAUGUGUGCUGUGCUCAGGGAGACAUUU